rnacentral:rRNA from 1 species
AGCGAACGCUGGCGGCAGGCCUAACACAUGCAAGUCGAACGAACUCUUCGGAGUUAGUGGCGGACGGGUGAGUAACACGUGGGAACGUGCCUUUAGGUUCGGAAUAACUCAGGGAAACUUGUGCUAAUACCGAAUGUGCCCUUCGGGGGAAAGAUUUAUCGCCUUUAGAGCGGCCCGCGUCUGAUUAGCUAGUUGGUGAGGUAAAGGCUCACCAAGGCGACGAUCAGUAGCUGGUCUGAGAGGAUGAUCAGCCACAUUGGGACUGAGACACGGCCUAAACUCCUACGGGAGGCAGCAGUGGGGAAUCUUGCGCAAUGGGCGAAAGCCUGACGCAGCCAUGCCGCGUGAAUGAUGAAGGUCUUAGGAUUGUAAAAUUCUUUCACCGGGGACGAUAAUGACGGUACUCGGAGAAGAAGCCCCGGCUAACUUCGUG